UGGGGAAUAUUGCACAAUGGAGGGAACUCUGAUGCAGCGACGCCGCGUGAACGAAGAAGGCUUUCGAGUCGUAAAGUUCUUUUAUAUGGGAAGAUAAUGACGGUACCAUAAGAAAAAGCUCCGGCUAACUACGUGCCAGCAGCCGCGGUAAUACGUAGGGGGCUAGCGUUUUCCGGAAUCACUGGGCGUAAAGGGUUCGCAGGCGGAAAUGCAAGUCAGGUGUAAAAGGCAGUAGCUUAACUACUGUAAGCAUUUGAAACUGCAUAUCUUGAGAAGAGUAGAGGUAAGUGGAAUUUUUAGUGUAGCGGUGAAAUGCGUAGAUAUUAAAAAGAAUACCGGUGGCGAAGGCGGCUUACUGGGCUCAUUCUGACGCUGAGGAACGAAAGCGUGGGUAGCAAACAGG
rnacentral:rRNA from 1 species